rnacentral:rRNA from 1 species
CAGUCGCCGCGGUAAAACGGAGGGUGCAAGCGUUAAUCGGAAUUACUGGGCGUAAAGCGCACGCAGGCGGUCUGUCAAGUCAGAUGUGAAAUCCCCGGGCUUAACCUGGGAACUGCAUUUGAAACUGGCAGGCUAGAGUCUUGUAGAGGGGGGUAGAAUUCCAGGUGUAGCGGUGAAAUGCGUAGAGAUCUGGAGGAAUACCGGUGGCGAAGGCGGCCCCCUGGACAAAGACUGACGCUCAGGUGCGAAAGCGUGGGGAGCAAACAGGAUUAGAUACCCCUGUAGUCCCUGUCUCUUAUAC